rnacentral:misc_RNA from 1 species
GUGAAUCAUCAAAUUUUUGAACGCAAAUUGCGCCUUCUUCGGAAGGCAUGUCUGUUUGAGGGCACCAUUUAACAAAUAAUGUACAGCGUGUUUUGUUGCACACGUUGAUGUGCGUUGCAAGAAUUUUAAAUUUUUGGUGGCGCAUAAUGAACAUCGUGGAAGUUGUUUUCAGUUCGAGAGUGGUAAACUCUUUGCUUGGGUGGUGAAAAAACAUAAUCGUGUAAUGGGUGUGGCAAUUUCUUUUUAUCCCUGCCCCAAUUGCACUCUUUCUCACGAAAGA